GCCGCAGCGGCGACGGCUACCCACUGGCCGUCGUCCGGGUCGCCGGUUCCAUCCCGGCCGCGCCAACCCCCGCAUUCAGGCCCCGCUGCGGCGACUGCAUU
rnacentral:sRNA from 1 species